AUUUGGCUUAGUUAGGAGGCAAACAUGAACUUGGAGGACCCAGAGAACUCUGUGUCUUCCGAUUGGCUAAGGCCUUUUUGAGGGGACUUUUUUUAGCUGCUAAACCCAGAUCAGAUUGUCCCCCAAGCAGCCUCGGACAUUC